rnacentral:rRNA from 1 species
UUUCGCAAUGCCCGAAAGGGUGACGAAGCGACGCCGCGUGCGGGAAGAAGGCCUUCGGGUUGUAAACCGCUGUCGGGAGUUAAGAAAUGCAAGGAUAUUAAUAGUGUCUUUGCUUGACUAAGGCUCCGGAGGAAGCCACGGCUAACUCUGUGCCAGCAGCCGCGGUAAUACAGAGGCGGCAAGCGUUGUUCGGAAUUAUUGGGCGUAAAGAGCACGUAGGCGGCUAUGUAAGUCGGUUGUGAAAGCCUUCCGCUCAACGGGAGAACAGCAUCCGAUACUGCAUGGCUCGAGUGCGGGAGGGGAGAGUGGAACUUCUGGUGGAGCGGUGAAAUGCGUAGAUAUCAGAAGGAACGCCGGCGGCGAAAGCGGCUCUCUGGCCCAUAACUGACGCUGAGUGUGCGAAAGCUAGGGGAGCAAACGGGAUUAGAUGCCCCGGUAGUCCUAGCCGUAAACGAUGGGCACUAAGUAGAGGGGUUUUA